rnacentral:rRNA from 1 species
GACAGAGGGGCCGAGCGUUAGGCGGAAUCACUGGGCUUAAAGCGUGUGUAGGCGGAGUUCUAAGUACCUUGUGAAAUCCCACGGCUUAACCGUGGAACUGCUUGGUAUACUGGUUCUCUUGGGCCAUCUAGGGGCUACUGGAACAAACGGUGGAGCGGUGAAAUGCGUAGAUAUCGUUUGGAACGCCAAUGGUGAGAACAGGCUGCUGGGGUUGCGCCGACGCUGAGACACGAAAGCCAGGGGAGCAAACGGG